UUCCUACGGGGGGCUGCAGUAGGGAAUAUUGGACAAUGGGCGAAAGCCUGAUCCAGCAAUGCCGCGUGAGUGAUGAAGGCCUUAGGGUUGUAAAGCUCUUUUACCAGGGAUGAUAAUGACAGUACCUGGAGAAUAAGCUCCGGCUAACUCCGUGCCAGCAGCCGCGGUAAUACGGAGGGAGCUAGCGUUGUUCGGAAUUACUGGGCGUAAAGCGCGCGUAGGCGGCGAUUUAAGUCAGAGGUGAAAGCCCGGGGCUCAACCCCGGAAUUGCCUUUGAAACUGGAAAGCUAGAAUCUUGGAGAGGUCAGUGGAAUUCCGAGUGUAGAGGUGAAAUUCGUAGAUAUUCGGAAGAACACCAGUGGCGAAGGCGACUGACUGGACAAGUAUUGACGCUGAGGUGCGAAAGCGUGGGGAGCAAACAGGAUUAGAUACCCGAGUAGUCCU
rnacentral:rRNA from 1 species